UCCUAUUUCCUAUUAGAUAUAUAGUCAUUUUAGUGUUAAUAUUCUCCAGUGCAUUUUAGUUUGUUUAAAUAGUAUCAUUUUUUAUAUUUAUCUUUGUAUUUACACGUUAGAGUACAUUCAAGUACUUGUGGUUAGAAUUAUAAUUUGUUUUGUUUUGUGUUUGUUAUCUUUUCAUGCAACAAUUUGGAAGACCCUGUAUGACAUCCUCACUGAUAUUUACCUUUGGGGGAACAGUGUUUGGUAGAUCCCCUGCCUCUUCUGAUUAGAGCCAACAGAGACCAGUCCUCCCGGAGGACAGCUCAACUGCACGUCAUGUUGAAGGCUGAGGUGGGCAGAUCACUUGAGGUCAGGAGUUCAAAACCAGCCUGGCCAACAUGAUGAAACCCCAUCUCUCCUAAAAAUACAAAAAAAAUUUAGCAGGGCAUGGUGGCAUGCAUCUGUAAUCUCAACUACUCAGGAGGCUGAGGCAGGAGAAUUGCUUGAACCUGGGAGGUAGAGGUUGCAGUGAGCCGAGAUUGAGACACUGCACUCCAGCCUAGAUGACAGAACAAGACUGUCUCAUUAAAAAAAAAAAAAAAAGAAUUCAGUCCCACUUCACUAUCCCCCCAGCUAGCAAAGAUGUGUCCUCUUGAACAAUCUUCAGGGAGAGGGAAGCCUUGGCUUCAUUCAGAAUCAAAUGACAUUAUUUCCUCCUACCCAAUAUUAGUCAUAUGCUCAUCCCUUCUUUAUAGUGGAUGACCAGCUCUGUUUGCAUCUCCCUGAACUUCAAAAAGCCCUUUGUAUGCAGAGCUGUUGCAGAGAGGCCAAUGAUUAUGGGAUGAUUUAUUUAUAUUAUUAUGGCACAAUAGAAGUCACUUUGGUCCUUGAAUGUGUUCCAGUGACUCAUGAUAUUUUUUCCGAUGUUUUCUGACCUCUGCUCCUUUCCAAAUUCUCCCAUCUCUGAUAAAUUAGCUUCAAAACCACAGAAAAACCACAGCUGUGUUUGUUCGUCAGGGACUUGAAGAAUGAAAGUAACUGUUUUCAUGAGGAAUCUUCAAAGGAGUCCACAGAUUAUGCCAUUUUGAGAACUACCUUGCAAGAAGAGGGGAUCACUCACAGCCAGAAGCUGUACUCCACAGUACAGUUCUUUAAUAUGGCAAAUGCAAGUCUUCUUUUGUAUGUGAGUACUAAGAAAACAUCUUCCAAGAAUCACUCUGUCUGCAACAGAGAGUGUAGUGAGCUGGAGGCUCUCAGGAAUAAAAGAGGAGACGCACAGCACCCUUAUAAGAAGUGGAACUCUCAUGACAUUCAACAAGGGUCUUUUAGACAAUGAUCAUUUUCUGAAGAAAGAGGCAAUCCACACCUUCAACACACAUAACUUGCUCUAAACAUCUCAGUGAGUUUCUACUGUUCCUUACAUUGGGAAUCAAAUAUUUGACUUGAUAAUUCUUUAGUUAGCAACAUGAUUUGAAUUUCAAGGAGUUGCUUUAUAUUUUAACACUUAUUUUCAGAUAUCAGGAAUAUGUAGAUUUUUAAGGUGAUAAACCAGAUGGCAUUAAAAAAAUGUUUAAUUUAUUUCUAAACAACAAUAGUUAAGUAUCAGCAGUAGAAGUUAAGUAUCAAAGGAUUCAUUUAAUUUAUUUAAUCAUCUGUGUGCCUCCAGAGUGGGACUCCAUAGUUUUUUACAUGUAUGCAUGGUUUAAUGAACCUAAAAAUGGAAUAAAAAUGAUAAUUGAGAAAACGUGGUAGUGAAA
rnacentral:lncRNA from 13 species